CAGUCGCCACGGGAAUACGUAGGGUGCAAGCGUUAAUCGGAACUACUGGGCGUAAAGCGUGCGCAGGCGGUUAUAUAAGACAGAUGUGAAAUCCCCGGGCUCAACCUGGGAACUGCAUUUGUGACUGUAUAGCUAGGGUACGGCAGAGGGGGAUGGAAUUCCGCGUGUAGCAGUGAAAUGCGUAGAUAUGCGGAGGGACACCGAUGGCGAAGGCAAUCCCCUGGGCCUGUACUGACGCUCAUGCACGAAAGCGUGGGGAGCAAACAGGAUUAGAUACCCGCGUAGUCCCUGUCUCUUAUAC
rnacentral:rRNA from 1 species